AUGUAUGACAGAGAACAGAGAGGCUCGGUAUUUGCCCAGAGGCACACAGCAGGAUUCCGCCAGGGGAGCUUGGGUAGAGGUAAGGUGACUUGUGGGUGGUACCCGCAUUGUGUGUCUCUGGGCAUCAAGUCUACAUCUUUUUCCUCCAGAGAAGAAAUGUAUGAAGCAAGACCCCUCUCCAGGAGCCUCUUCUUGUACACCUUCCUGCAAAACCAUGGCCCCAGCUUCCUGGACGAGCAAGUGGUGGGGGUUCCUGGCGUGACCAAUAUCUUGGAGUUCCACCCCGAGGUCUCCCCCCACAGCAGUGAGGCCCCCCAUCACCUGGCCAUGCAGCUGGCCUCCAUUGCCGAUGAUCUGGAGCUGAGGUUGCUGCUGCCCCAGUUCGCCGAGCCACUCUGGAUGAUCGUGUACAGCUCUUUCUUCCCCUUUAGCCAGAUAGGCCCGAGGGAUGUUCUUCGAAGCUUCAUGAUUGCGUUCACGAACCUCAGGGAGAACCGAAGGCUCAGGAGCAUCUUGUCCCUCAGGGACAGGGUGUCUCCCAGCCUGUGGCCCGAGCUGGCGCUGUCCCUGCUGCUGGUGGUGAUGCUUGCCUGGAGGUGACCAGCUGCUGGCCAGUGUGGGGUGGGGCGGGCCCCUCCCCCUUGACCACCACCCUGGAGGUGGCCGUUUUGGAUUUGUUGUCUUUAACUGGUGAUCUUUUUUUUUUUUUUUUUAAAUAUUUAAACUCCAAGUGCUGGGACACUGAGGUUCAUAUUCAUUUUUUUCUUUUCUUUCUUUUUUUUGUAAGAGAAAUGAAUUCAUUAUACUUCCAGGGUCGUUACUGGUGAACGCACCUGCUCCCCUGGCCCAGCCCGCGCUGUGCCGAGAAGGUGCCUCCUCCUUGUGGGUUGGUCACAGCGGACGUCAGGGGGGGUGCUGGUCACACCCCUGUGUCUGUGAUGCCUGCGGCAAAAAAGAAUCUGCUGGAAUAGAUUUCUGCAGGGUGAGGAGAGCUCAAUAAAAUGUUGGUUUCCAGCCA
rnacentral:lncRNA from 1 species